rnacentral:sRNA from 1 species
UUGAUAGCACUGGUGUCUGAUCACCUCUGUUUAUCCACAGAACAGGUAUAGAAGAUGCAGCAACAAUGACACUUCCCCCAUAAUAUACCAUGUGGUUUUUCAGAAUCUGAACCAGCAGGGCUGUCUCUAAGGAUGUUUUCAGACAAGACACUCCCCAUACACCUCCCACCCAUUGUAAAU